UACGGAGGGUGCAAGCAUUAAUCGGAAUUAUUGGGCGUAAAGGGCGCGUAGGCGGAUUUGUAAGUCAGAUGUGAAAUUCCGGGGCUCAACCUCGGAACUGCAUUUGAAACUACAUAUCUAGAGGAUUGGCGGAGAAAACGGAAUUCCACGUGUAGCGGUGAAAUGCGUGGAUAUGUGGAAGAACACCGGUGGCGAAAGCGGUUUUCUAGCUUAUUCCUGACGCUGAUGCGCGAGAGCAAGGGGAGCAAACAGG
rnacentral:rRNA from 1 species